UCCCAUGUGGCUCAGCUGGUAAAGAAUCUGCCUGCAAUGCGGGAGACCUGGGUUCGAUCCCUGGGUUGGGAA
rnacentral:tRNA from 1 species